CUUUUAUUGAGUCUGCUAUUACUAUAUUAUUUAUUACAACAAUUUUAUAUAUCAAAUCGAAAUAAAAAUUUAAUAUUUAUGUAAAUCUAUUUUUCAUUUCAAUGACAUUAAUGUAAAAUAUUUUAUUCUGUUUUAAUUAAUUUUAUCAUCACAUAUAUAUAUCCAAUAUCCAAUAAUCGAAUUUUUUUGAGAUUGUAUAUUUCUGUUUUCUAAAAUAAACCUGUUCUGUUCUCUAAAAUUUAGAUGUAUAUCUUUACGAAAGAGAAGAAAAAGAACAUAUAUACAUAUACAUUUAUGAACUGAUAAUAUUUAACUGAUAAUAAAAAAGAAUCUUCUUUUUAUUCCAAAAAAAACUCGAUUCUAAAAUAAACGAACCUAACCUCUCAACGCGCGCGUCAAUUAUCUUCUUCCGAUUCUUCAUCGUAAUCGAUUGGCGCGAAAACACACUGCAUGAGGUCGAAUCGUGCCUGCUUCGUAAAACCUCGUAUAUACCUCUCCUGUCCUUUCCUAGAAUCCCCCUUCCCGCCAACUCUCUCCCUGUUCCAACCUAUCCAUACUUCGUUCUCCGUUCCUCCUGGCGCGAGAGUGGCCGCAACCGCGAAUUACUUCGCAAUUUCCCGAAAUUGCGCAAUCCGUGCAGGCUAAUGGCCACCGGGCCGUUGCUGGUCGGACACAUGGGUGGGGAUACGUGCGAGUUGUGUAGAGAGGCGGAGAGGGAGAACGCGUGGGAGAAGUGGGGAUGAUGGUUCGAAGGGAUGGACCACGACGGUGGCCACGGGGGAGGCCGACCAUUAAUUAAGCAAAAUCAUAAACCCGAGUUGUGCACGGGAAAGCGCGCACGGGUUAUAUUGAAAAAUAUAAACGAAUCGAGAGGGGACCCUGUUACUUUCACGAACGGAGAUACCGUCGGUGUUUAGCCUAGCCAAUGCACCCGAACAACUGCGGUGCGAUGCAGUUUGCGUCAGAGAGGGAUUUUAUCAUUGGCACCAUUGCCACGCCGAUUGCGGUUUUCAUUCUUUGUGCACGUGUACAGGAUAUACCAGAGUUAUAGACACUGAAAUUAAAUUAUGAUAAAAUGAAGAUAAUAUUCAGAAAUCUUUUGAAAAUCUUUUAUGUGCAAAUUUUAUUGUUGUAAAGUUGUGGAUAGAAGUGGAAUCGAAUUAAAGGUAUUUAGAUUUUUUUUAGAAAUUUUGAAUGUGUAUGUUCAAGAAUCAUAAAAUUGGAUUGAAAAUAAAAUUGAAUUAAAUUGAUGAAUCCGAUGUAAAGAAUAAAUUUAUAUAUGAUAUGAAAAAUUAGACUUAGAAAUAUAAAUAUUUAGUUAGUGUAAAUUCUAAUUUCAAAACUUCGAAAGUCUUUCCUUCUGAAUUUUUAAAAAUUUUAAAAACUUGAAGUUUUUUUAGUUUACGAAAUAUUAAAAUCGUUGAAAAUCAAUUUUAUGAAAUAAAAAUAUCCCUUAAAUUUAUUAGUAGAUAGUUUAUAUAUAAUAAUGAUAUUAUAAUAAAUGAAUAAAUUGAAUAAUGUGGAGAAAUACAGUUUCUGGAAAAAAGUUAAAGAAUUUUCUUCAUUGUUAUAUUUUCUAAAUAAAUUUUAUGAUGAUGUAUCAUAUAUUUAUUGGAAUAAAUUGAUUGCAGAUUUUAAUUUCUAAAUUAAAAUAUAAUCUAUUCAAAAAAUAAACACGUAUCUAGAUAAAUUAAAAUAUGCAUAUACAUGUACAUCAGUUUGAUAAUUUUCUGUUUCCUUUGUGUUUGUUGUUUUUCAAUGACCAGGGCAAGUAUCAGUAAUUAUUGAACAGGCUAAUUCCCCUGACUAUUUCUUACGAUAACUUCAUCGAACAGGAUCAUGCCCAAUUACGAUUCUUCGAACGUGUUACCGAUAUGUAUCGUUCGCCUAUUUCUCCGUGACAUACCUCUAGAAAAAGUAAAUCAAGAAAGAGCGAGAAAGAUGGAAGAGGAGAUAGAAGAGAAAAAAGAGGUGGAAAGAAAUUGAAAGUAAAAAUGACCAGUCUCGACGGCUAAACAUAGCGGUUAGUUUGUGAAAAAUCGACAAUAUAUUCUCGACUAGCGGUGGCUAAGUUUCUUACGUAGUCCGAUGCCAAGCGUUAAAAUAGUCGAAGGGGAAAUCGCUGAAAGAUAGAAUAGUUUGGUGUUUUAAAAUGUUGUUCAGAAUUUUUUAAUAAUGUUGAUUGUUGGGCUAUUUAUGUAUCGAGAUACAUAUAUUCGAUAAUAUGUCGUGUUUCAUAGUAGAUCAUAUUUAAUCUAUCAUAAUAGCUAUAUUGUCAUAUCUAAUAUUUCAUAUUGGAUAAUAUCUCUAUUCAGAUAUUGUGUAGAGGUUUAACGAAAAAUUUUAAUUAAGAUAUUUAUACAUUUGCACGUUAAUUUCAUGAUAUUUAUAUGAUAAUAAGAUUUUAAAUGACAGAAUUUUUUCAAUUGGAUGAUUUUUUCUAUAAAAUAUUAAUUAAAGAAAACGAUUUUAAUAUAUUUUAAUUUCAAAUUUUUAUUUAUUCAAUGAUAUGUAUCGAUGAUUAUUUAAUGAUAGCUAUUUAGAAUAUUUAUGUAUUGAUAUGUUAAUUUUUUAAUAUCAAUUAUAUACCAAUAUCUUGAGCAUGAUUUAUUAUAAUUAAGUAAGAUGUUAAUUAGAGAAAAAAGUAAUGAUGAUCAUAAAAGAUAUUAAAUAUUAAGACUAAAAUUUAAAAAAUCGAACAAAUCUUAUAGUACUCAGCUAUAAAACAUAUAUUCACGAAAGUUUUCUAAUAGUAUCCAGGUUUUACAUAAUUAUUAUGCACAAAUCUGAAAAAAACAUCUAUAUAUAUCUAAAAAGUUGAAUGCUCGUCGAACUCGUGGAAGAGGCAAAAGGGCAAGCAAGCGGCAGCGUCGAGCUAAUAACAAUUUAUUUGCAAUUCCCGGAGUUCCCCAGCUCGAGCGGCGCAAAAGACGACAGCGGAGAGAGAAGAAAAGUGGAAAAGAGUAAGAGAAAGAAGGAUAACGACAGAAAACCGUGGCUCGCGCGUGUGUCGCAAUGUCCCUUAACGGCUGACGGCUGUUGGAGAACCGGUCGACCUCGAUACACCUCGGCUUGCCUCUCCGCUAGGUACUACACUGGUUAAUAUACGUAUUUUCGAUAGAAGUACUACGUCCGGUUUCAAUGUAUACGAGCGAUUAUUUUUCCGACUGAUUAUAUAUUGUCGACUGUAUCUGAUCUGACCAGACCCGAUUCAACCCGAACUAAGCCGAGCUGAUCCGAUUUAAUCCGACUCAAACCGAUCUGAAGACUCGAAGACCCGAAAUCAUCCGAGUAUCACAGGUUAUCGAAAAAUUUUUGCUUCGAUCUAAAUCUGAAAUAGUGAAUAUCAUAUCCAUAAAGAAGAUCAGUUUUUUAUCCGAAAUAUGUCAUCAAAGAAAUUGAAUUCUUAGAAAUCCUGUUCAAUUCUAAAUAUGACUAAUUUUUUUAUAAUGAAAUUAUAAAUUUAUUCAUAAAUAAUAAUGCAGCGAUAUACGAGAUACGGAAUAAACGAUAUUAACAGGUUAAAAAAUAGGUUAGAAAAUAAAUUAAUUUCGAAUAUGAAUUGAAUUUAUUUCAAUUAUUUAUGAGAUUAUAUUAAAGUUAUCGUAUGCGUGAAUAGAAUUGAAAACCUUAUAUUUUAUUUUAUGAUUUAAAGGUUAUUAAAUCAAUUAAGUCAUUUGAUAAAAAAUGAAAGAUUAAAGAACAUAAACAAUAAUUUAUGCAUAUGCAAAAUUUUAACAUUAUAUUUAGAAAUAAUAAAUUAUAUCAUAAUUAAAAGCUUAAUACUUCUUAUUAUUAUGUGAAAAUUAUUAAAUUAGUUUAAAGAGAUAUAAUUACGCUUAUUGAUGUCUUUAUAUGAUAUGAAUCUGCUCCAUAUUACACUAUUAUAAUUAAUCAAUAAUAAUAUAAUACAAGCACUGUUUUGAAUUCUGUACAUAAUCAAACAAGUGAAUUUUAUUAUGAAUAUCUCAGAUUUAAAUCAAUUGCUUUAAAUUGUUCUGUUAAUUAACUAUAACGCUAUUCUUUAUUAAUUAUAAAUAUCUUAUAAAUAUCUUACUAGGAUAAAGUGAAUAUACUUAAAAUAAAUGAUUUUAUUGAAAAUUUAAUUAAUAUACAUUGAUAUUAAUGUAUUUAAUCUGUAAUAAUUUAAUUAUCUGUAAUAAUUUCGCAGAAUCAAAUUUAAAUAAUGUAAAAUUUAAAAUAUACCAAUGAAAGAAAAAAUUUCAAAUAGAUUAUCGGAGAACGUUUUUACGUUACGUAAAGUUUUUAAAAUAAAAAAUUUUUUUUUAAAAAUAGAUAUCACAAAAAAAAAUUUUCAAAUUUUUCAAAAAAAAAACUAAAACUAAAUUUAUAGUUGAUUGAAAUAUCUAAUUCACGAGAAGAAAUUCAAGUUUAAUAAAAAAAUAAAUUACAUUAUACAAUGUAUACAAUAUAAUAAAUAAUUCAUAUAUUCAUAGUAUUUACGUGUAAUGUCUCAACAAUAUGCAAUAGUUAAAGUUUAUUCUCUUUGUUCUCCGUUUUCCGCGGAAAAUCGGCUCGAGUACAUGUACAAUUGGUAACAGUGGCAUUGUCCCACGUUUUUCUUGCGGUGCAUGCAACGGUAGUGCCCCAUAAUGUCUUCUUAUCGCAUACGCCUAUCGUUCGCGUUAUUAAAAGGCGCGAGCGCAGAGUACGAAAAACAAGCGUGGCAAUUGUAGUAUACCGGUAUUCCAGUUUCCCUGCUGCGGUUCAAUCGUACUUUCUCACAGCGUGUGCGCAACGAACGACACGCUGAAAGAUAUUUUAUAGACCUGCUGCGUACCAGAAGUUGAAUUAUCUAUUUGAUAUCUGUGUUAAGGGGAAAAUUGGGUGAUCGUAAAAAAUCCUAGAUUAUGAUACAUUAUCGAAAUAUGUAAUGAAAAAAUUGGAUAUAAUAUAAAUAUAAUAAAAUAAUAUACGAUUUAAAUGAAGAUUCUCCUUAAAAAAUUUUAGACAUUAUGUGUUACAAUAAAAGAAUAUAAUUUAA